rnacentral:rRNA from 1 species
GAUGAACGCUGGCGGCGUGCCUAAUACAUGCAAGUCGAGCGAACAGACGAGGAGCUUGCUCCUCUGACGUUAGCGGCGGACGGGUGAGUAACACGUGGAUAACCUACCUAUAAGACUGGGAUAACUUCGGGAAACCGGAUCUAAUACCGGAUAAUAUAUUGAACCGCAUGGUUCAAUAGUGAAAGACGGUUUUGCUGUCACUUAUAGAUGGUUCCGCGCCGCAUUAGCUAGUUGGUAAGGUAACGGCUUACCAAGGCAACGAUGCGUAGCUGACCUGAGAGGGUGAUCGGCCACACUGGAACUGAGACACGGUCCAGACUCCUACGGGAGGCAGCAGUAGGGAAUCUUCCGCAAUGGGCGAAAGCCUGACGGAGCAACGCCGCGUGAGUGAUGAAGGUCUUCGGAUCGUAAAACUCUGUUAUUAGGGAAGAACAAAUGUGUAAGUAACUAUGCACGUCUUGACGGUACCUAAUCAGAAAGCCACGGCUAACUACGUG